GACGAACGCUGGCGGCGUGCUUAACACAUGCAAGUCGAACGGAAAGGCCCUGCUUUUGUGGGGUGCUCGAGUGGCGAACGGGUGAGUAACACGUGAGUAACCUGCCCUUGACUUUGGGAUAACUUCAGGAAACUGGGGCUAAUACCGGAUAGGAGCUCCUGCUGCAUGGUGGGGGUUGGAAAGUUUCGGCGGUUGGGGAUGGACUCGCGGCUUAUCAGCUUGUUGGUGGGGUAGUGGCUUACCAAGGCUUUGACGGGUAGCCGGCCUGAGAGGGUGACCGGCCACAUUGGGACUGAGAUACGGCCCAGACUCCUACGGGAGGCAGCAGUGGGGAAUAUUGCGCUAUGGGCGGAAGCCUGAUGCAGCAACGCCGCGUGCGGGAUGACGGCCUUCGGGUUGUAAACCGCUUUCGCCUGUGACGAAGCGUGAGUGACGGUAAUGGGUAAAGAAGCACCGGCUAACUACGUG
rnacentral:rRNA from 1 species